GGGCCGGUAGCUCAGUGGUAGAGCACCUGACUUUUAAUCAGAGGGUCGUGGGUUCGAUCCCCACCCGGCUCACCA
rnacentral:tRNA from 4 species